rnacentral:rRNA from 1 species
CUUGGUCAUUUAGAGGAAGUAAAAGUCGUAACAAGGUUUCCGUAGGUGAACCUGCGGAAGGAUCAUUAUCGAAAUUAUUGGUGAGGGUUGUAGCUGGCCUUUCGAGGCAUGUGCACGCUCGAGCCCUUAAUCCACUUUACACCUGUGCACUUAAUGUAGGUCGCCCUUAAAAAAGGUGACCUAUGUCUUAUCAUCAACCCAUCGUAUGUCUCAUAGAAUGUAAUCGAUAUCCUCGCCCUAAAAAAGCGUUGAUAAACUUAUACAACUUUCAACAACGGAUCUCUUGGCUCUCGCAUCGAUGAAGAACGCAGCGAAAUGCGAUAAGUAAUGUGAAUUGCAGAUUUUCAGUGAAUCAUCGAAUCUUUGAACGCACCUUGCGCUCCUUGGUAUUCCGAGGAGCAUGCCUGUUUGAGUGUCAUUAAAUUCUCAAACUCCGAUCGAUUUGUUUCGACUUCGGGGCUUGGAUUUGGAGCGUGCUGGCGUCGGUCGGCUCCUCUUAAAUGCAUCAGCGGAAUCUAACGUUCCGGACGUCAGUGUGAUAAUCACGUUGCGCUGUCUUUCGGUCCGAAAAGCCCGCUCACAAUGGUCUUCGGACAACUUCAUAUCAAAUUUGACCUCAAAUCAGGUAGGACUACCCGCUGAACUUAAGCAUAUCAAUAAGCGGAGNA